rfam:Schistosoma rodhaini strain Burundi genome assembly, scaffold: SROB_scaffold0001478
AUCCAGCUGACGAGUCCCAAAUAGGACGAAAUGUGCAUUCUGGAU